CUCAAGUGUGUGUACCUGCUGUAAAUAUGGACAAACAGCGAUAUGUGGGUUUAGGUGGGCAUGCAAUGAGCAAAUCAUGCCCAUGAAGAAACUACAUUACAUGG